ACUGAACGGUGUAAGCCGACCUGAUCGGCCCAAGGACAUUCUCGCUCAAGACAGCCACAAUGGCUCUCUGCCAGCGUCGUCCUAGCACUAGGCAGCUGCCUACAAUUGCGGAGGCCUACUAUGGCGGUGGCCAUUUGUGACAGAAUCUGAUUGUAUUGCGCAGGAUCAGGGUGAACUGAAUAAAAAGUUGUGAAAGGAGAAUGGUUCUCCUGGCGCACCAAUGAGGUACCAGUGGGAACGAGCACACACUGCCUGCUGCCGUACUAAUCUCUUGGGGUCAUCCAAACAAGGUCCCAGCUCAUGAACAGUCUGUUAACAAAUAAAGGUGUUAGAAGAUGUACAAAAGCUGAAAAAAACAUUAAUACAUAAAUGCUAUUAAACAAAUUUAUGGGCUCAAUAUAGAUUUUAA